rnacentral:rRNA from 1 species
CACGCCCUAAACGAUGCAUAUUUGGUGUAGGUCAUUCAGUUGAUCUGUGCCGGAGCUAACGCGUUAAAUAUGCCGCCUGGGGAGUACAGUCGCAAGGCUGAAACUCAAAGGAAUUGACGGGGGCCCGCACAAGCGGUGGAGCAUGUGGUUCAAUUCGACGCAACGCGAAGAACCUUACCUGGGCUCGAACGGCUUCCCAACGGCGGUGGAAACACCGCUACUCCGCAAGGGGGUGGAGUCGAGGUGCUGCAUGGCUGUCGUCAGCUCGUGUCGUGAGAUGUUGGGUUAAGUCCCGCAACGAGCGCAACCCUUGUCCUGUGUUGCCAUCCCGCAAGGGGGGACUCGCAGGAGACCGCCAGCGAUAAGCUGGAGGAAGGUGGGGAUGACGUCAAGUCCUCAUGGCCUUUAUGUCCAGGGCUACACACGUGCUACAAUGGCCGGUACAAAGCGCAGCUAAGCCGCGAGGUGGAGCCAAUCGCAAAAAACCGGUCUCAGUUCGGAUUGCAGGCUGCAACUCGCCUGCAUGAAGCUGGAAUCGCUAGUAAUGGCGUAUCAGAACGAUGCCGUGAAUACGUUCCCGGGCCUUGUACUCACCGCCGUCGGACAGGUCCGUCGAAA